UUAAAUUGAAGAGUUUGAUCAUGGCUCAGAUUGAACGCUGGCGGCAGGCCUAACACAUGCAAGUCGAACGGUAACAGGAAGCAGCUUGCUGCUUCGCUGACGAGUGGCGGACGGGUGAGUAAUGUCUGGGAAGCUGC
rnacentral:rRNA from 1 species